UGGGGAAUUUUGGACAAUGGGGGAAACCCUGAUCCAGCCAUCCCGCGUGUGCGAUGAAGGCCUUCGGGUUGUAAAGCACUUUUGGCAGGAAAGAAACGUCGCGGGUUAAUACCCCGCGAAACUGACGGUACCUGCAGAAUAAGCACCGGCUAACUACGUGCCAGCAGCCGCGGUAAUACGUAGGGUGCAAGCGUUAAUCGGAAUUACUGGGCGUAAAGCGUGCGCAGGCGGUUCGGAAAGAAAGAUGUGAAAUCCCAGAGCUUAACUUUGGAACUGCAUUUUUAACUACCGGGCUAGAGUGUGUCAGAGGGAGGUGGAAUUCCGCGUGUAGCAGUGAAAUGCGUAGAUAUGCGGAGGAACACCGAUGGCGAAGGCAGCCUCCUGGGAUAACACUGACGCUCAUGCACGAAAGCGUGGGGAGCAGACAGGAUUAGAUACCCUGGGUAGUCCACGCCCUAAACGAUGUCAACUAGCUGUUGGGGCCUUCGGGCCUUGGUAGCGCAGCUAACGCGUGAAGUUGACCGCCUGGGGAGUACGGUCGCAAGAUUAAAACUCAAAGGAAUUGACGGGG
rnacentral:rRNA from 1 species